GACAGAGGUGGCUAGCGUUGUUCGGUGUCACUGGGCUUAAAGCGUGUGUAGGCGGCCAGGCAAGCGCGUUGUGAAAUACCCCGGCUUAACCGGGGAACUGCUUCGCGUACUACCUGGCUUGAGGCAGGUAUGGGUGCGGGGAACUGUUGGUGGAGCGGUGGAAUGCGUAGAUAUCAACAGGAACGCCGGUGGUGAAGACGCUGCACUGGGCCUGCCCUGACGCUGAUACACGAAAGCGUGGGUAU
rnacentral:rRNA from 1 species